rnacentral:ncRNA from 1 species
UCGCCCGAGCGGGCGAUGGUGCGAGGGCUACCCAUCCGUUGGAUUACGCCUGAACGCCUCUAAGGCCGUAUCCCACUCUGGAGAAAACAGCCGGCCGGGCUUCGGGCCGGUCUCGGGAAAACGAUCGUCCGUACGGCGGAGGAGAACCCAGUAUACAUCGGGAAGGCGUCAAAGCACGGACCUUCGGGUCCACGACGAGCCGGAUUCUCGGCCGCGCGGGGCUCUCGGGCCCGCUGGCCGUGCAUCAACGGUGAAACGCGGUGAUCCCGCGGCAAACGGUGUGGGUUUUCGGAAUCGUCUGCAGACGACUUAAGUACCGGGCUGGGUGUUGUACUCGGCAGAGCAGUUACCACGCUGCGAUCUGUUAAGACUGCCCUUUGCCUCGGGGGUUCGU